rnacentral:rRNA from 1 species
AACGAACGCUGGCGGCAGGCCUAACACAUGCAAGUCGAGCGGACCUUUCGGGGUCAGCGGCGGACGGGUGAGUAACGCGUGGGAAUAUGCCCUUCUCUACGGAAUAGUCCUGGGAAACUGGGGGUAAUACCGUAUACGCCCUUUGGGGGAAAGAUUUAUCGGGGAAGGAUUAGCCCGCGUUGGAUUAGGUAGUUGGUGGGGUAAUGGCCUACCAAGCCGACGAUCCAUAGCUGGUUUGAGAGGAUGAUCAGCCACACUGGGACUGAGACACGGCCCAGACUCCUACGGGAGGCAGCAGUGGGGGAUCUUAGACACUGGGGGCAACCCUGAUCUAGCCAUGCCGCGUGAGUGAUGAAGGCCUUAGGGUUGUAAAGCUCUUUCAGCUGGGAAGAUAAUGACGGUACCAGCAGAAGAAGCCCCGGCUAACUCCGUG